rnacentral:misc_RNA from 1 species
GAGGAGGAGUUUUCAGGACCUCCAGUGAAUGUGAUAGUAGAGCUGCUUCUAGCGUUAUCGUUCUGUAUGUGGGCUGCUUUAACUGCAGCGGGAAAGUUCCUUUCCGUACAUCAUCAUUCUGAAGAGAAUAGGAUAGUUUCUUUACCGGCCAAUAUGGACUUCUUGAUCUUCAACCAUCGUGGUAAAGUAUUUUCUCCAGGAACGGACAUGAGACUGAAACAUUGAAGUCUUCUCAAUGAUAGGAUCAUCUUUUGGAGUGCUAUUUAAGACAAGCAAUCAUCUCUCUGUCAAAUUUGAGCUUGGAAAGAGCAAAAAUUGGAGGAUUUGGCAACUCAGUGGUGCUAAUUCCUAGUAUCUUAAGACAACACUUAAUUUUGUACCGUGUAUCUUAUAUUUUUUCAUAAUUUCCAUCAGUUGGUCUUGUAAUGUGAAGAUUUAGGAAUGCUAUCACAUGUUUUGUGAUAAUCACAAUGGGAUUUUAAUGUGGAUCUAGGCCUGCACACCGAAUCUGCUUUAAGCCUGAAAGAUAAACUUUGAAACAAGGUAAAUGGUGAAACUACAAACUAGGAGCUGCGUUAUACGGAAGAUGCAAUCCUACCAUCUCCAAGUUGUGAC